CCAAUAAUAUAUAAUGUACUAUAUAAGGCAUACAUUGUACAGAUCUGUUCAGUUCUUUGUUGUUGUCAUAUAUAAAAACAAAUUAAAAUGAUAAGCAAAGCUUCCCCGACCUCUUCUUCUAUCAUAUGCUGUUUGUUCAUGAUUUCGAUUAUCAUGGUUUCACCUGUCCUGUCUGUGAGAAAGUUAUCCAUGGCUCCGGACAGCUAUGAAGCAUACGGAAACGCUUUUCCGUCACUGGCUGUUAAAAUUGGGGUACCUUUUGUCCCUAUUCGUCCAAGUGCCGGCAAUGGAGAAGUGAUGAAUUUUUUUUUCUUUUUUCCGUAAAUAUAUGGUUCGACUGAAAAAAUUAAUAAUAAUAAUGAUUUGUCUUAUGGAAAGUUUGAACCGGAUUGAUGACC